AUUUGAAACAAGAAGAGAACAUGUCAUCUGUCAGGCAAGCUAGUGUGUUGUGGCAUUUUGACUACGAGAGGCAUCAGGAGAUGAGCUUCCAUCACAUCUCGCUGUCGAUACCUCCAACGUUCAAAUUCUUAACUCUGAGACCUCAAAAAGACUCGUCGAAAAUUUUGUAAUCGCUCUCAUGAACAAGGAGCGUUUCUACAUCCGCACAUUCUUUUCGACAUACAAAGCAUAUACCACUGCUGAAAGUGUGUUGUACAUCCUCCUGGACAAAUAUGGGAGCUUUGACACCUCAGAGGCAGAAGAGAUUCCAGUAAUCGAUUCAGUGAGCACAAA